rnacentral:rRNA from 1 species
UACGUAGGGGGCAAGCGGUUGUCCGGAUUUAUUGGGCGUAAAGAGCGUGUAGGCGGCCAGGUAGGUCUGCUGUGAAAACUCGAGGCUUAACCUCGAAGCUGUCGGCGGAAACCAUCUGGCUAGAGUCCGGAAGAGGAGAAUGGAAUUCCCGGUGUGAGCGGUGAAAUGACGCAGGAUAUCGGGAAGAACACCCGUGGCGAAAGG